rnacentral:rRNA from 1 species
CUAAUUAUUAGUCUUUUGUUUCGUUUAAGGGGGUUUGUGUUAGUAGGAUGAAGUAUCCUGGUGAUUGGGUAUCGUUAGAGAUAAGUUGUUUAAGAAAGAGAGUGAAUAAGUAUUGUAAAAGAUGGGCUUAGAAGUUGGCGAAAGGAGAGUUGUAUUUUCGUACCUUUUGUAUCAGGGUGUUCCAAGUUUACCGGCCGGGGGCCGGGGUCUCGAAAUGUUAAGAUUUAUUUUGUUAAAUUAGGUGUGGGUAGUAAAUCAUAGCGUAAUUUCAAGAUAGAGGUGAGAUGUCAGCCGAUUAAUAUAUAUCUGGUUCCCCGGGAAAAAAGUUUAAUUUUUUCUUGAGUUGUACUUGCGCUUAGGGGUUAGAUUAUGGGGCAUGAGCUCUUUAGUCAGGGUUAGUUAAGUUGGGCUUAUCGCGUGUUGAUUGUGACUAGGCUUGAGGUCAGCCAUGUUUUAAGUACGUUAUAGUUUAUUUUAGAGAAGUCGUGUUUUAUAAAGUCUGUUGGGUCUUACCGGGGAGCGCCGUUGAAUUUUGCUUGGGUGUAUAUAAUGGUAGAAUGAGUAGUUUCUGUUGUUAUUAUUGCGUUGUCAUUAAUGCGGGUAUUAGGUUAUAGCUUAUAUGUGGGCUAGUUAAGGAACUCGGCAAAAUUUUUCCCCUGCCUGUUUAUCAAAAACAUGUCCUCGCGUGUAUGGUGUGCGAGGUCUGGCCUGCCCACUGAGAUUGUUUUGAAGGGCCGCGGUAUAUUAACCGUGCGAAGGUAGCAUAGUCAAUAGUCUCUUAAUUGGAGGCUUGAAUGAACGGUCGGACAUGGGGAAAGCUGUCUGUAGCUGGUGGGUGUGAAUUUAACUUUUGUGUGAAAAGGCAUUAAUGUGUUAGUGGGACGAUAAGACCCUAUAAAAUUUGAUGAUUGAUGCGGGGUUUUAUAAUUUGUGGUUAAGACUGGAGCUCAGUGGGUUCAUUAUACUGGGGCGGUAGGAAUAAAAUUGUAACUGUUCUUUUUAUGAAAUAAUUAUAAUUAGAUAGUGAUCCCGAACUUUGGGUUGUAAGAUUAAGUUACUUUAGGGAUAACAGCGUUAUUUCCCUUGAGAGUUCAUAUCGACAGGGAUAUUUGCGACCUCGAUGUUGAAUUAAAAUUUUUCCCGGGGGUAGGUGUUCGGGUAAUAGGUCUGUUCGACCUUUGAAAUUUUACAUGAUUUGAGUUCAAACCGGUGUGAGCCAGGUUGGUUUCUAUCUUCUAUUUUGUGGUGGGCUAUUCUAGUACGAAAGGAUUGAGUAGCUGCAAGAGUUGUUCGAUCAUUUGAGUGACAUUAACUU